rfam:Ciona savignyi cont_30762, whole genome shotgun sequence.
GGUAGAAUGGCCGCGCGGUCUAAGGCGCUGGUUUAAGGCACCAGUCAUUUCGAUGGCGUGGGUUCGAAUCCCACUGUUGCCA